AAUUUUCGGCAAUGGGGGCAACCCUGACCGAGCGACUCUGCGUGAGUGAAGAAGGUCUUCGGAUUGUAAAGCUCUGUUGUAAGGGAAGAACCGUACCAGUAGGGAAUGUCGGGUACCUGAGGGUAGCUUACCAGCAAGCUACGGCUAUCUACGUGCCAGAAGCCGCGGUAAUACGUAGUUGGCAAGCGUUAUCCGGAAUUAUUGGGCGUAAAGGGAGCGCAGGCGGCUUAUUAAGUCUGAGGUUAAAGUUCGGGGCUCAACCACGUGAUGCCUUAGAAACUGGUAGGCUAGAGUGCAGGAGAGGUGAGUGGAAUACCAUGUGUAGCGGUAAAAUGCGUAGAUAUAUGGAGGAACACCAGUGACGAAGGCGGCUCACUGGCCUGUAACUGACGCUGAGGCUCGAAAGCGUGGGGAGCAAAUA
rnacentral:rRNA from 1 species